GACGAACGCUGGCGGCGUGCCUAAUACAUGCAAGUAGAACGCUGAAGGAGGAGCUUGCUUCUCUGGAUGAGUUGCGAACGGGUGAGUAACGCGUAGGUAACCUGCCUGGUAGCGGGGGAUAACUAUUGGAAACGAUAGCUAAUACCGCAUAAGAGUAGAUGUUGCAUGACAUUUACUUAAAAGGUGCAAUUGCAUCACUACCAGAUGGACCUGCGUUGUAUUAGCUAGUUGGUGAGGUAACGGCUCACCAAGGCAACGAUACAUAGCCGACCCGAGAGGGGGAUCGGCCACCCUGGGACUGAGACACGGCCCAGACUCCUACGGGAGGCAGCAGUAGGGGAUCUUCGGCAAUGGACGGAAGGCUGACCGGGCAACGCCGCGUGAGUGAAGAAGGGUUUCGGAUCGUAAAGAUCUGUUGUAAGAGAAGAACGAGUGUGAGAGUGGAAAGUUCACACUGUGACGGUAUCUUACCAGAAAGGGACGGCUAACUACGUG
rnacentral:rRNA from 1 species